GAGAAACUUGUCGAAGCCAUCAGCUUUGCCUGUCUCAAAUGACUGCCCCAAGACCUACACGCAAGAGGUCCUUCCUAUAGGAGCCCAGUGCACAAAGACCAGGAAGCCUCUUUCUGUCACCAUCGCUGCCCAGGUAAAAGUGUUUCUGUCAAGGUCACAUCCUCACACCAAGCACCCACGGGUGGCAAUAUUCCAUUCCAUUCUGUCAGCACCACAGGUCUCUCUUCUACAAAUGUUGACUGCCCGUGGCACAGGCUCCAACCCAGAAAGUCCUCCAUGGAAGCUCAGCAGAAAUGCCCAGUGCAGGAACACGAGCCGGCCCUAAUCCUCAGCAGCAGAGGCAAGACAGUGUCUCGGACAGGGCUGUCAAGACCAGAGUCCUAGACUUCACUGCUUCACGACGUUGAUAUCACAAACAGAUUGUAAGCCUGCCAAGAACAUGGUUCUCUCAGCCUUAAUAUGGAGACAGCAGGAAACCAAAGGUGUCAUUGUAAGAUGAGGCCCAAGCAAAUGGAUAAGGUCCUAUAGCACUGUGCCCUGUGCAUAGUGAGUAUUCCUAAGUGUGAACAUUAUGUGGAAUGAUGAUUAUGAUGGUGGUAGUGGUGGUGAUGGUGGUGAUGGUGUUGAUGAUGGUGCUGCUGAUGGUGGUGGUAGUGGUCAUGAUGAUGGUUGUGGUGGUAAAUUCAGGCAUGCAGCUACCCUAACUUCUCCUACAUCACUGCUAAAGGAGUGGUUCUCAGCCUUCUUAAUGUUUCAACCCAUUACAUCAGCUCCUCAUGUUGUGGUGACCACCAACCAUAAAAUUAUUCUGUUGCUACCUCAUAACAGUAAUUUCACUACUGUUAUGAACUGGAAUCUCUGACAUGCAGGAUAUCUGAUCUCUAACCCCCAAAGGGGUCAUGACCCACAGGUUGAGAACUGCUGAUCUAGUGCUAAAGGACUAAAGGACCAGUCUGAGGAGUGUGCCCUGGACUUCUGUGGUCAGCUGAACAGAAAUCAGUCGCCACAGCAGAAGCUAAAUGAGUUCCCAGUAAGGAAUCUAAGAACAGCCCCAUCUUCUCUAAGAACAGCCUCAUCUUCUCUCCUUCCUUCCCAGCCAACACCAGAAUAGGUGGGUUUACAAAGUUCGUGACAGAUUAGAAUCGGUGAACUUAGCUACUUGCUCUUAUAUUACAUCGUCAGGACUGGUAGAUAUCUGUGAUCUGGGGAUUGAAACUCGGCCACACAUGGGAUACGGAACUCCAGAAUUCAUUCAGCACAUGGAAUCGGUACUCUGUGAUGAAGAGAAAUUUUUGCUAGCUCUAAAAAGCUGUUUCUGAUGAGUCAUAAACCUGCUUGUAUAUUCUAACACAAUUGCUAGUGGCGAAAACUAAGCUGACGGUAAAGAUGGUGGUGGGGACAGUUUAAAAGUGCCCCCAAUCCUCAAUACUUCACAAGUUUCACCUUGGUCUUCAAAACCACCCUGUGUGGGAGGGGCUCUCGGUGUCCCAUGUCACAGACAAGGACCCACAAAAAAGUGCUAACUGCACCCCAGGAGCAGAGUCAGUAUAAGUAGCGGAUGGGGAACCCUCUCUAGGCACCUGGGCCUUCCUUGACCUCUGGUUAUGCUGAUCCCAGGAGGGAGGGCUCAGCUUUCAGAAAGUGUGUACACUGAAUAAAACAUUUCUGACUACUUAGUUUCUUUACUCAUUGCUGGAACGGAGCGCUUGACAAAGGCACCUUAAAGGGGGAAGGAAUUGCUUUGCAUCACGGUUUGAAGAUAGCGUCCAUGGCUGUAGGAGCUGGAGGCAGCGGCUCUCCGGGCGUCUGCAGUCAGGAAUCACAGAGAGAUGGAAGCUAGUGCUCGGUUUGCUUUCUCCUUGUUAUUCAGUCUGGGCCCCAGCCCACGGGAUGGUUCUGUUCCGUUGGGGUAGAUCUUUCCUGUCAAUGAAUCCUGUCUGAAAAUUUCCUCAUAGCAUGCCCAGAAGUUUGUCUCCUAUGUGAUUUUACAGCUUCCCCCUUUGAUAAUAUUAACUACCACAAGGUUCAUCAGGCAACUCACCCUGAACACACCGACCUGCUGCAACAUCCAACACAUCUGACCAGCUUCAUAAGAGGCCCCACAUGCCCUUCCAGAUUUUCAGGGGCUUACAGAAGAGAGACUGGGAAGAUGCUGGCUUCAUCACGACACAUGGAAAAGCAUGAUGGUGUGGGGAGAGGGCUGUCACAAGAAAGCAUUUGCUGAUAUAAAUUUAUAAAUUUUCAAAAUGA
rnacentral:lncRNA from 1 species